AAACCCUACUCAAACCCUAAAUUUGACCCCUAACGUCUCUCUUUCUCUGGUAGAGUUUUUCAAUGGCUAUAACCGAAGAGAAACCAGCUCAAGAGACUGAACAUAAAGGUGAGGAAGCAGAAGAAGAAGAAGAAGAAGAAGAGCUAACUUUUGAACAGCUUGGGCUCGACCCUCGAUUAAUUCGAGCUUUAAACAAGAAGGAUAUUAGUAUUACAAAGCCAACCCCAAUCCAGCGAGUCGCUAUUCCUCUAAUACUCGAAGGGAAGGAUGUGGUUGCUAGAGCAAAGACAGGCUCAGGGAAGACCCUGGCUUAUCUGCUUCCUUUGGUUCAAAAGCUGUUUGCAAUUUCUGGUUCCAAUAGAAAACUUGCCCCAUCUGCAUUCAUUCUCGUCCCAAGUGGGGAAUUGUGUCAGCAGGUGCAUAAAGAGUUCUCAUCCCUCAUUGAUUCGUGUAAAGUGCAGUUGAAAGCUGUACAGUUGACAACCAAAAUGCCUGAUCCUGAUUUGCGCACUGCAUUGGCUGGACUUCCUGAUAUUGUUGUAUCAACUCCUGCUUGUGUAGCUAAGUGCUUGUCAGCUGGUGUGCUUCAAUCAUCAUCCAUAAAUGAUUCGCUUGAAAUUCUUGUUCUUGAUGAGGCAGAUCUUUUAUUGUCAUUCGGCUAUGAAAAUGAUCUAAAAGCUCUUACAGCUUUUCUCCCUAGACGUUGUCAAUGCCUUCUAAUGUCAGCUACAUCAAGUGCUGAUGUUGAUAAACUGAAGAAGCUCAUCCUACAUAAUCCAUACAUUUUGACUUUGCCAGAGGUGGAAGGUGUCAAGGAUGAAGCUAUCCCCAAGAAUGUUCAGCAGUUUUGGAUUUCAUGUAGUAAUCAAGACAAGUUACUCCACAUUCUUGCCCUUCUGAAGCUGGAGCUGGUUCAGAAAAAAGUUCUGAUAUUUACUAAUUCCAUUGACAUGAGUUUCAGGCUGAGGCUCUUUUUGGAAAAGUUCGGAAUAAAAUCUGCUGUUCUAAAUGCUGAGUUGCCGCAGAAUUCUCGUCUUCAUAUACUUGAGGAAUUCAAUGCAGGGCUUUUUGAUUAUUUAAUAGCAACUGAUGACAAUGAAACAAAAGAGAAGGAACAAGCUGAUGGGAGUCUUGCUGAGUCAAGGAAAUCUAAAAGACAUGCUAAGGCUAAGCAGAAGUUGGAUUCUGAAUUUGGAGUAGUAAGGGGCAUUGACUUUAAAAAUGUACACACGGUUAUAAAUUAUGACAUGCCUCUAAGUGCUGCGGGAUAUGUACACCGAAUUGGUCGUACUGGACGAGGAUAUAGCACUGGUGCUUCUGUCUCCCUAGUUUCUACAGAUGAGAUGGAAAUUCUUGAAGAUAUAAAGUCCUUUUUUGGGGGGGAUGACAGCAAGGAUUCAAACUUAAUUUCUCCUUUUCCUUUACUCACUAAGAAUGCAGUGGAAUCUUUGCGAUAUAGAGCUGAGGAUACUGCAAAGAGUGUGACGAAGGUUGCUGUUAGGGAAGCACGAGCUCAGGAUUUGAGGAAUGAAAUACUCAACUCUGAGAAGUUGGAGGCUCAUUUUAAGGCUAAUCCUAAGGACUUAGGUAAUGAGAUUUGUUGGAAUAUGACUUGUGAUUGUCCUGGUUGGGUGCAGUCUCUAAUUGUUUCGCUGUGACCUUUUAUUGGAGCGGAUCUACUGAAACAUGACAAGGUGUGAGCAAGAAUCCCCCUGCUCCUCAUCUACGUGACGUGCCGGACUAUCUGCUGGACCCAACAACCAAGGAAGCAAGCAAAAUAGUCAAACUUGCAAGAGCUGCAAUGGGAAAUAAUAAUAAUAACUCUGCUCGCCGUCAGGGAUCCAGGAGCAAAUUUAAGAGAAACAGAGACCCUCUGAAGUCCUCCGUUGAGGCACCAAAGGGAGCUCUCAAAGGUAAGAGGGAAGGACAAGAUGGUGACAAUACUCGUAAACACAAAAGGAGAAGUGCUGUCUAAUUUAAUUUUUUUAAUCUAACAAUUUUGUUUCCAAUUUACUUAAAAAUAUUCAUUUUUUAAAAUAUAAUCUAAAUGCAGUAUUAUUAUUUGAAAAGCAGCAUGGUUGAUGACAAAAUUCUUAUGAUUCAAUUAUGUAAAAAUAAUUUUUAAUAUUUUCUAAA